rnacentral:rRNA from 1 species
AUUGAACGCUGGCGGCAGGCCUAACACAUGCAAGUCGAGCGGCAGCGGGAAAGUAGCUUGCUACUUUUGCCGGCGAGCGGCGGACGGGUGAGUAAUGCCUGGGGAUCUGCCCAGUCGAGGGGGAUAACUACUGGAAACGGUAGCUAAUACCGCAUACGCCCUGCGGGGGAAAGCAGGGGACCUUCGGGCCUUGCGCGAUUGGAUGAACCCAGGUGGGAUUAGCUAGUUGGUGAGGUAAUGGCUCACCAAGGCGACGAUCCCUAGCUGGUCUGAGAGGAUGAUCAGCCAGACUGGAACGGAGACACGGUCCAGACUCCUACGGGAGGCAGCAGUGGGGAAUAUUGCACAAUGGGGGAAACCCUGAUGCAGCCAUGCCACGUGUGUGAAGAAGGCCUUCGGGUUGUAAAGCACUUUCAGCGAGGAGGAAAGGUUGGUAGCUAAUAACUGCCAGCUGUGACGUUACUCGCAGAAGAAGCACCGGCUAACUCCGUGCCAGCAGCCGCCGCAGUAA